rnacentral:rRNA from 1 species
AGAUCUAAUCCAGAGUACCACGAGACACGUGAAACCUUGUGGGAAGCAGGGAGGACCACCUCCCAAGGCUAAAUACUACCUAGUGACCGAUAGUGAAGCAGUACCGUGAGGGAAAGGUGAAAAGAACCCCGGAAGGGGAGUGAAAUAGAACCUGAAACCGUGUGCCUACAACCGAUCGGAGCACGUUAAAGUGUGACGAUGUGCUUUUUGUAGAACGAGCCAGCGAGUUACGCUAUGUAGCAAGGUUAAGUACUUAAGGUAUGGAGCCGAAGGGAAACCGAGUCUGAAAAGGGCGAAAAGUUGCAUGGUGUAGACCCGAAACCGGGUGACCUAUCCAUGGCCAGGUUGAAGCGAGAGUAAAAUCUCGUGGAGGACCGAACCACGUUGGUGUUGAAAAACCAUGGGAUGAGCUGUGGAUAGCGGAGAAAUUCCAAUCGAACUCGGAGAUAGCUGGUUCUCCUCGAAAUAGCUUUAGGGCUAGCGUCGUGUAAUUGAGUAAUGGAGGUAGAGCACUGAAUGGGCUAGGGGCUAUAGUAGUUACCGAACCCUAUCAAACUCCGAAUGCCAUAUACUUGUAUCACGGCAGUCAGACUGCGAAUGAUAAGAUCCGUAGUCAAAAGGGAAACAGCCCAGACCAUCAGCUAAGGUCCCAAAGUGUAAGUUAAGUGGAAAAGGAUGUGGGAUUUCUAAGACAACUAGGAUGUUGGCUUAGAAGCAGCCACUCAUUUAAAGAGUGCGUAAUAGCUCACUAGUCAAGAGAUCCUGCGCCGAAGAUGUCCGGGGCUCAAACUUACCACCGAAGCUAUGGGUGUACACUAUGUGUACGCGGUAGAGGAGCUUUCUGUAUGGGUUGAAGUCGUACCGUAAGGAGCGGUGGACUGUACAGAAGUGAGAAUGCUGGCAUAAGUAGCGAGAAAUAAGUGAGAAUCUUAUUGGCCGAAAACCUAAGGUUUCCUGAGGAAGGUUCGUCCGCUCAGGGUUAGUCGGGACCUAAGCCGAGGCCGAAAGGCGUAGGUGAUGGACAAUCGGUUGAUAUUCCGAUACCACCUAUUUACGUUUGAGAAAUGGGGUGACGCAGUAGGAUAAGAUGUGCGCACUAUUGGAUGUGCGUCUAAGCACUUAGGCAUGCUUGAUAGGCAAAUCCGUCGAGCUAAGCUGAGGUGUGAUGGGGAGCCAUUUAUGGCGAAGUAUCUGAUUCCACACUGCCAAGAAAAGCCUCUAUCGAGUGAAUAGGUGCCCGUACCGCAAACCGACACAGGUAGGUGAGGAGAGAAUCCUAAGGCCAUCGGAAGAAUUGCUGUUAAGGAACUCGGCAAAUUGACCCCGUAACUUCGGGAGAAGGGGUGCCUACGAAAGUAGGCCGCAGAGAAUAGGCCCAAGCAACUGUUUAGCAAAAACACAGGUCUCUGCUAAAGCGAAAGCUGAUGUAUAGGGGCUGACGCCUGCCCGGUGCUGGAAGGUUAAGGGGAACACUUAGCGUAAGCGAAGGUGUGAACUUAAGCCCCAGUAAACGGCGGCCGUAACUAUAACGGUCCUAAGGUAGCGAAAUUCCUUGUCGGGUAAGUUCCGACCCGCACGAAUGGCGUAAUGAUUUGGGCACUGUCUCAACAGCAAAUCCGGCGAAAUUGUAGUGCAAGUGAAGAUGCUUGCUACCCGCGAUUGGACGGAAAGACCCCGUAGAGCUUUACUGUAGCUUAGCAUUGAAUCUCGGUAUUGUCUGUACAGGAUAGGUGGGAGACUUGGAAACUUGGGCGUCAGCCUGAGUGGAGUCAUCCUUGGGAUACCACCCUGACAGUACUGGGGUUCUAACCGGCGGCCAUGAAUCUGGUCACGGGACAUUGUUAGGUGGGCAGUUUGACUGGGGCGGUCGCCUCCUAAAAAGUAACGGAGGCGCCCAAAAGUUCCCUCAGCGCGGUCGGAAAUCGCGCGAAGAGUGCAAAGGCAGAAGGGAGCUUGACUGCGACACAUACAGGUGGAGCAGGGACGAAAGUCGGGCUUAGUGAUCCGGUGGUACCUCGUGGGAGGGCCAUCGCUCAACGGAUAAAAGCUACCUCGGGGAUAACAGGCUGAUCUCCCCCAAGAGUCCACAUCGACGGGGAGGUUUGGCACCUCGAUGUCGGCUCGUCGCAUCCUGGGGCUGAAGUAGGUCCCAAGGGUUGGGCUGUUCGCCCAUUAAAGCGGCACGCGAGCUGGGUUCAGAACGUCGUGAGACAGUUCGGUCCCUAUCCGUCGCGGGCGUAGGAAAUUUGAGAGGAGCUGUCCUUAGUACGAGAGGACCGGGAUGGACCAACCUCUGGUGCACCAGUUGUCACGCCAGUGGCACAGCUGGGUAGCUAUGUUGGGACUGGAUAAACGCUGAAAGCAUCUAAGCGUGAAGCCAACCUCAAGAUGAGAUUUCCCAUAGCGUAAGCUAGUAAGACUCCUGGAAGAACACCAGGUUGAUAGGUCAGAGAUGUAAGCAUGGCAACAUGUUAAGUUGACUGAUACUAAUAAGUCGAGGGCUUGACCA